rnacentral:rRNA from 1 species
AGUGAACGCUGGCGGUAGGCCUAACACAUGCAAGUCGAACGGCAGCACAGUAAGAGCUUGCUCUUACGGGUGGCGAGUGGCGGACGGGUGAGGAAUACAUCGGAAUCUACUUUUUCGUGGGGGAUCACGUAGGGAAACUUACGCUAAUACAGCAUACGACCUACGGGUGAAAGCAGGGGAUCUUCGGACCUUGCGCGAUUGAAUGAGCCGAUGUCGGAUUAGCUAGUUGGCGGGGUAAAGGCCCACCAAGGCGACGAUCCGUAGCUGGUCUGAGAGGAUGAUCAGCCACACUGGAACUGAGACACGGUCCAGACUCCUACGGGAGGCAGCAGUGGGGAAUAUUGGACAAUGGGCGCAAGCCUGAUCCAGCCAUACCGCGUGGGUGAAGAAGGCCUUCGGGUUGUAAAGCCCUUUUGUUGGGAAAGAAAAGCAGCAGGUUAAUACCCCGCUGUUCUGACGGUACCCAAAGAAUAAGCACCGGCUAACUUCGUG